rnacentral:rRNA from 1 species
UACGGGAGGCAGCAGUGGGGAAUAUUGCACAAUGGGCGAAAGCCUGAUGCAGCUAUGCCGCGUGUAUGAAGAAGGCCUUAGGGUUGUAAAGUACUUUCAUCGGGGAGGAAAAAACAAAACUAAUAAUUUUAUUUCUUGACGUUACCCGAAAAAGAAGCACCGGCUAACUCCGUGCCAGCAGCCGCGGUAAUACGGAGGGUGCUAGCGUUAAUCAGAAUUACUGGGCGUAAAGAGCACGUAGGUGGUUUUUUUAAAGUCAGAUGUGAAAUCCCUGGGCUUAACCUAGGAACUGCAUUUUGAAACUGAAAUACUAGAGUAUCGUAGAGGGAGGUAGAAUUCUAGGUGUAGCGGUGAAAUGCGUAGAUAUCUGGAGGAAUACCUGUGGCGAAAGCGGCCUCCUAAACCGAAUACUGACACUGAGGGUGCGAAAGCGUGGGGUAGCAAAC